rnacentral:rRNA from 1 species
AGGACGAACGCUGGCGGCAUGCCUAAUACAUGCAAGUCGAACGAAGGCUUCGGCCUUAGUGGCGCACGGGUGCGUAACGCGUGGGAAUCUGCCCCUUGGUUCGGAAUAACAGUUGGAAACGACUGCUAAUACCGGAUGAUGACGAAAGUCCAAAGAUUUAUCGCCAAGGGAUGAGCCCGCGGUAGGAUUAGCUAGUUGGUGAGGUAAAGGCUCACCAAGGCGACGAUCCUUAGCUGGUCUGAGAGGAUGAUCAGCCACACUGGGACUGAGACACGGCCCAGACUCCUACGGGAGGCAGCAGUAGGGAAUAUUGGACAAUGGGCGAAAGCCUGAUCCAGCAAUGCCGCGUGAGUGAUGAAGCCGUUAGGGUGUAAAGCUCUUUUACCGAGAUGAUAAUGACAGUAUCGGAGAACGUAAGACCCCGGACUAACCGUCCGACCGCCGAGACCACGUCCGAC